GUGUGUGUGUGUGUGUGUGUGUAUGGAUGUAGGGAUCAGGCGGUGUGUGUACACGCACACUGCCUGAUCCCUACAUCCAUACACACACACUGCCUG